rnacentral:RNase_P_RNA from 1 species
CAAGUUAGUUACACGGUUGCGUAGGAUUGUUUUACAAGGAUGCAGAAUUUGACUUUUUUACCCCGAAGGCGUACUAAGGUACCCCGAGAGGGUAAAAAGUCAAAGAAAAAGUAAAACUUGUUUUACUUUUGGUCUGCGCCUCGUAAAGCAAUCCUAUGAGGAAAGUCCGAGCCCCGCAGGGCAAUAAUAGCAGCUAACGGCUGCCGAGGGUGACCUUAGAGAGAGUGCAACAGAGAUAUACCGCCGCAUUUGCGGUAAGGGUGGAAAGGCGAGGUAAGAGCUCACCUACCGAAUGGAGACAUAUCGGUACUGUAAACCUUAUUUGGAGCAACGCUGAACUUGGCUAUACAUCUGCCCGAUGUGCCAUAAAAAGCGGCUUGAGCGUGCAGGCGACUGUACGUCGAGAUAGAUGACCGUGCACGACAGAACUCGGCUUAUCGACUAACUUGCUAU